CUCCCUGUAGCUCAGUUGGUAGAGCAUAGUGUUUGCAACGCCAGGGUUGUGGGUUUGAUUCCCACGGGGGGC
rnacentral:tRNA from 1 species